rnacentral:lncRNA from 1 species
AGAACUUUUUGUAUCAUUUUGCAAAUGUUGAAGUCCGGUUUUAAAACAAGUUGUUCUGCACUGGAGGGCCAUGGCUGACUUUCCCAGGCUUGCCAGGACCGCUGUGGGAUGCCAUCGUGGAGGUCACUGGGCCAGAGGAGUGAGCCUCCAGAAGUUGCGUUAUCCAGCAUUGUCCCCUAAAUCCCACGGUCAUGCAGUUUACGUUCAUCUCCGCUUUACACGGGUGAUAUUAACUGAAGACUCUGAGUGGAGAAGAUUGGGUCUGCAGGCUGAGAUGGAGAUCUCCUGGGCAGGAGUGGGAGACCUGAGUUCUUGUCCUGAUCCUGGCGGGAACCAGUCCCCUCUGUUCCACCAAGCGAGAGCCUCAAGUCCUGCUCUGCCCACGCGGGAGGAUGUUCUGUCAGAG